ensembl:rRNA 5S_rRNA 5S ribosomal RNA
GUCUACAGCUCUACCACCCGAAUGUGCCUGAUCUCACCGGGUCUUGGAAGCUAAGCAGAGUCAGGCCUUGUUCUUACUUGGAUGGGAGAAAGCGUAGAUGCACUUGUUU